UACAGAGGGGGCAAGCGUUAUUCGGAAUUAUUGGGCGUAAAGAGCUCGUAGGUGGUUUGUCGCGUUUGUCCGUGAAAACUCACAGCUCAACUGUGGGCGUGCGGGCGAUACGGGCAGACUGGAGUACUGCAGGGGAGACUGGAAUUCCUGGUGUAGCGGUGGAAUGCGCAGAUAUCAGGAGGAACACCGGUGGCGAAGGCGGGUCUCUGGGCAGUAACUGACGCUGAGGAGCGAAAGCGUGGGGAGCGAACAGG
rnacentral:rRNA from 1 species